GCGCGAGAGGAGCGGCCGAUGCCGGAUUAGCUAGUUGGUGGGGUAAUGGCCCACCAAGGCGACGAUCCGUAGCUGGUUUGAGAGAACGACCAGCCACACUGGGACUGAGACACGGCCCAG
rnacentral:rRNA from 1 species